AUGGAUCCAUGUGUCUAUAUUCAUAGAUUAUGUUUAUGGAUUGAUAAAAAUAUGGAAUAUUUGCCUCUGCCAUUCUAUGAGUCGCUUACUUUUCGCGUAUGGCACCCUCACUCCCUUUGGAGGCAUCUACUAAUUCGGAACUUAAUUUGA
rnacentral:rRNA from 1 species